rnacentral:rRNA from 1 species
CCCGGGCCUUGUACACACCGCCCGUCACACCAUGGGAGUUGGCUUUACCCGAAGGCGGCGCGCGAACCCGCAAGGGACGCAACCGACCACGGUAAGGUCAGCGACUGGGGUG